rnacentral:lncRNA from 1 species
UACGACGUGCGCUACGUCGGCGGGAGGGGGCGGGAAAUCGGAAAGUGCCCCGACGGUACUUAGGUUCUGAUAGCGAAGCUGUUCGAGUCACCGAACAGACUCGUGCUGUUUGUCGAAAAUCGAUUGACGAACGUGAAGUAUUGACGAUAAUAGUUGAAAAAAAAAAAAAAAAGAGUCGACAAGAAGAAAUAAGAUCGAGUAAACGCAACGAAACACGUUCAAAACACUCGUUGUUUCGCGGUGGUGACAAGAACUAUGUAAUACAACGAUUGUUCCAAAAUUUUCAUCAACGUAAAGAAAAACUCUCGUCGACGAACGACUAGAGGGGAAAAAAAAGGCAAAAAACAAAAAAAAAAAAAAAAAACCUCACCUCUAAAACACCCGUGACUGUGAUAAUUAUCGAAGCUGGUGUAUCAAGACUUGAAGUGAAUAAUAAAUACAACAAUAAUAAUAACAUAACAAGGAGCGUGUACCCUUGAAGUAAAUCCACUUUGCUGUGAAAGUGACCGAAGGGAUAA